UAUUAAUCCAGUGGUGUUUAUUCAAGCAGUAUUCACACUUGCUACUGAAUAACAAGGGAAUCAAGGCUCCCACAGCUCCAGCUUCACAGCAGCCCCAAGGUUUCUUGAGAACUUCAGUGAGUUUUGUGGUUGAAAAGCCUUUCAGUUCUUCACCCCUGCCCCUGUCAGGCAUAGCCUAUUAUACCUGAUAACCAGCACAGAUCAGUCAGGGUAGCAAAGGCAUACAGCAAAACCGGGCAGGACUAUGUUAGCUCAGAAGAGGCCACACUGUUCCAUGUUUUUAUACAAAAAAUUUAAUAAAUAUUUUUCAAAAUUUAUUGCCAGGAACAACACAUCAAAGAUGCAUUUUUAUGUUCAUAUAACACUAAUAGGACAAUACAAAGUAUCUUCACGGUCUCAAUGGUGAACCAACAAGAUUACUCUGUUUUAUAAGCCUUUUUGAUCUUAAACUUUGUAAUAGCACUUUGAUUUCCUCAUUUAAGGCAGGCAGUGUACUGUACGGCAAAUCUAAACAGUGAUCUUACUGGACAUUUUAUGGUUCAAGUAUUCAACUAGCUUAUUAGAAUACUCCCUAAAUGCAGUAGAUAACAAAAAAUAUCAAAUUUACAAGUGGUUCAGUAUUACAUACGAAUGGUGAAAAGAAAUCAGAAUUUACAAAAUAAGAUCAGUGUGCUUCCAACUUCACACAAUUGGAUAUUUUUAAAUGAUAUUCAACCACUCACAUUUUGACUACGUUAAGUCAUAGUUCAACUUGUUCCCUUAAACUGCUCUGUAGCAGACCACCUGCCUGUCUCUUCUUUUCAAGUCUAAAGCAGAAGAAAAAAACCAAAAACCUGUUCUAGACUAAUUCUCAAACUGCCUCAGUCAGUCCUUAAAAUGUCUUAAAGUGAUGCUAUAUAGGUGUUUUAACAUCUGACGCCGUACAAAAAAAUUCCAUCAGUAUCAGUAACCCAGGCACAGAAGCCCAUCCUAACAUUUUAAGAUAAACUAUUUUCAAACACCUUAAUUUUGGCUUAUAGACAACAAGUAAUGAGAAAAUAAGUUCAAAAAAAAAAAGCCAUACACUUACAAUGCUAUCAAAAACCUUCAGUUCUAAACAUACAUAUAAAUAAAAAGGAAUGAUGUUUUAAGGCUCUUGAUUAUUAAGUUAAUAAAUCAAAUAUACACAGUGAUUAAUAAAAAAGAAUUAUUUACAUAACUAUACAAAAAUUCUACUUUUGACACAUUUCCUCUUUAAAUUCUUCAUUUUACCAGCAACAGCUGACAUCAGGGUCCCCCCUCCCCCAACAAAAAAAAUACAAUAAAAAAAAUAAAUAAUAAACUCAUUUGUGAUAGUUGCUGUGGUUCUGAGCUGCAAAGGCACUUUCAAAUACAGAACUACUUGUACGUCAUCAUAAAACCAAUAUACAAAAACAACUCAAGAGUCAAUAAAUAUAAAUAAAACUAUGAUCCUAAGACUGCAUCACCUUUAGGACAUCUGGCAGAAGUGGAAGCUCAAGGACUGGGGGGCUGGGCAGUGUCUUGGGAGCCUGAUGGCGAGGUGACGGCGGCAGGGGACAUAACACACCCAGGGCACUUGCCACUAAUUUUUGCAUAGCUGUGAGACGCAGCGCCUGAUUUUCCCAGCCAACCACAGAAACUACCAUUGCCAGUGUAAGCCAGCUUGUCGAAACUUAAAUUAACACAGGGAUUCUAAGUCAACAACAGCCUCGGACUCGAGCGUGACACAGAAUUUAAAGAACUACAAGCCCCAAGUGCCCUCUGACUACUUAGCGGUGGCAACACCCACCAUCUGCUAUACGAUGUACUCCAUCCGAUUUAGGCUUUGGGCACUCUCCAAGUCCCUGUUGUCCUGUUUGUUUGUCCAGUUUGGGUGCUUAGUUGGCGUGCUGUUGGGGGGCUUCUCCUCUCUGUCUACCAGUGUGUACACUGGCUGUUUGGCAAACCGGGCUUUCUGCUGGUGUUUAUCCAUGUCAUCCUCUUCAACUUCUGAGUUGUGUGUCCUUAUCUUAGACAUUUUGGAGUUUUUGUUCUCAGUAAUCCUUGAUGGGGACAGUGUUGGCUCCAUGUUUCUCAAUGGGGUUUUGAUCUGGUUCAGCUGUUCCCGCACGUUGUUGGUGGUGUUGUCCUCAGAGGCCGAGAGAGUGUGGCUGCUUGGCUUCCGCCGUUUCCGCACACACCAGUAGAAGGCCGUCACCAAGCAACAGAUCCAAGCCACCGUUAAGACAGAGCUCAGCAGAGGAACCAGGAAAUC
rnacentral:lncRNA from 1 species